CGCUCCUUGUCCCACCUACCUCCGCCCUCCACGUCCCAGGAGAGGGCGGAUGCUGGCUCGUCUUCAGGCGAGAUGGUGGUGAUCUGGAUGCUGGGACACUCCACCACGCAGGACUCUGAAACCUGACAGUGUCGCCCCCAGGUGGCGGACCACGUGAACUUGUUCCCAAUGUGAAUGGCGCGCAUGAUACAACGGGCCAAAUCCUGAUUUUUACUGCUGUAGUCUGCAAGUCAUUCCUGCUGCUCGGAGACUUGGCUGGUCUCUCUCCGACAUUCCAUCCGUGUUCUCGUCCUCCGCGGACGUGACGUGGGACGGCGCCCCCCCUCCCCACUGUGUAGCUGUUAUCGACCAAUUCAGACCUGUUUUUUUUUUUUUUUUUUGGAAAUCCCACUGUUACAUGCUUGAUGCAUUCGACUCAUCACUCACAUUUAUCGACAGGAACCAAAAAAAGGAGGGGGGGGGGUAGGUUUUUGGGUGUCGGCUUUGAAGUUUCCACCUUCACUCAACACCUGGAGCACAACUGGCGCCCCACGAGACAUAACACACUUGCCACGCGACUAAGGGAAGCCCACAGUAACUUACAGUCUCCACCUCUACAUGGCAGCUGUUGUAUUAUUUUCAAAUAUUACUAAUAUGUGCUCCUUUUUUUUUUUUCUUUUUUUUUUUUAAACAUGUCUGUUUAGGCAUCUAUUUAGUUCUACUAUUCCCCAUUAUUACUCACCAAAAUAUAAAUGUUCUCCAAUUUUGGAUAAAACGAAGUCUUAUGCAAUAUGCUCUAUUCAUAAACUGUAUUCAAAUACAAUUCCUCCAAUUUUUGAAUAAAUCUAAAUCCUGUGCUCUAUUCUUAUGUGUGUUAUUAUUGCAAACACUGUACCGUACUGUGUUUGUGCAUUUUAUCUAAUAUUCCCCACUUCUCUCGCCCCAAAAAAUGUAUUCCUACAUUUUGGAUAAAACUAAACCCUAUUGAUAAUUGUACUAUUUAUGACGUGUCAAAAUCCA